rnacentral:rRNA from 1 species
AUUGAACGCUGGCGGCAGGCUUAACACAUGCAAGUCGAGCGGAGGUGAGGUGCUUGCAUCUUAUCUUAGCGGCGGACGGGUGAGUAAUGCUUAGGAAUCUGCCUGUUAGUGGGGGACAACGUUGCGAAAGUAAUGCUAAUACCGCAUACGUCCUACGGGAGAAAGCGGGGGAUCUUCGGACCUUGCGCUAAUAGAUGAGCCUAAGUCGGAUUAGCUAGUUGGUGGGGUAAAGGCCUACCAAGGCGACGAUCUGUAGAGGGUCUGAGAGGAUGAUCCGCCACACUGGGACUGAGACACGGCCCAGACUCCUACGGGAGGCAGCAGUGGGGAAUAUUGGACAAUGGGGGGAACCCUGAUCCAGCCAUGCCGCGUGUGGGAAGAAGGCCUUAUGGUUGUAAAGCACUUUAAGCGAGGAGGAGGCUAUUGAAACUAAUACUCUUGGAUAGUGGACGUUACUCGCAGAAUAAGCACCGGCUAACUCCGUGCCAGCAGCCGCCGUAAGAC